rnacentral:rRNA from 1 species
UAGGGAAUCUUCGGCAAUGGACGAAAGUCUGACCGAGCAACGCCGCGUGAGUGAAGAAGGUUUUCGGAUCGUAAAAUUCUGUUGUUAGAGAAGAACAAGGACGUUAGUAACUGAACGUCCCCUGACGGUAUCUAACCAGAAAGCCACGGCUAACUACGUGCCAGCAGCCGCGGUAAUACGUAGGUGGCAAGCGUUGUCCGGAUUUAUUGGGCGUAAAGCGAGCGCAGGCGGUUUCUUAAGUCUGAUGUGAAAGCCCCCGGCUCAACCGGGGAGGGUCAUUGGAAGCUGUGAGACUUGAGUGCAGAAGAGGAGAGUGGAAUUCCAUGUGUAGCGGUGAAAUGCGUAGAUAUAUGGAGGAACACCAGUGGCGAAGGCGGCUCUCUGGUCUGUAACUGACGCUGAGGCUCGAAAGCGUGGGGAGCAAACAGG